CUGGUACCUAGCCCCCUACAUCCCAACUCCGCUAUGAGCCUAUGACUCCAAUCCCUGAACUCGAGCAGUAAACGACACCACCCAGACGGCCCCCUCAGAUCAGAGGUCGAAUCCGAACCCCGUCGGCGAUGGCGCCGCCGCCACGCCGCCUCCUCCUCGUCCUCCUCGGGUUCCUUGCCGCUGCCUCUCUAGCUACCCUCGCCGCGGCUGUCUACGAAGACCAAGUCGGCCUCGCUGACUGGCAUCAGAAGUACAUAGGCAAAGUUAAGCAGGCAGUUUACCACACUCAGAAGAGUGGGAGGAGGCGUGUCGUGGUCUUGACAGAGGAAAAUGUGAUCGCCUCUCUUGAUCUUCGUUCAGGAGAUAUAUUUUGGCGCCAUGUCAUUGAGAAGAACAACCCCAUCGACCAGCUUAGUCUUUCAGCUGGAAAAUAUGUUGUUACUCUUUCUUCGGGAGGUAGUAUAUUGAGGGCAUGGAAUCUUCCUGAUGGACAAAUGAUCUGGGAAACCAAUAUUCAUACUUCCACAUCAUCAAAGUCGUUGCUGCAUGUUUUGUCAAACAGUAAAGUGGUAAAGGAUAAUUUGGUUUUAGUUUUGGCUGGACAAUGGAUUUAUGCUGUAUCAAGCAUUGAUGGAGUCAUUUCUUGGGGAAAGGAGUUCACACAUGACGGCCUAGAAAUCAAGCAGGUUGUUCAAUCACCUGAUAAUGAUAUUGUCUAUGUUGUUGGGAUUGCUGGUUCCUCAAAGCUUGCUGUUUAUCAGUUGAAUGCUAAAACUGGAGAGAUAGUAAAGGAUGCCCAAGAGUCAUUGCCUGAUGGAUUAUGUGGUGAAAUAUUACUUGGUUCCAGUAAUGUGUUGGUAGCACUGGAUGAGACUAGGUCAGCUCUGUUUAUUGUUGAUUUCAAGGGUGAGAGCAUCAGCUACAACAAGGUGCAGAUUUCAGAGUUUGUUCAAGACUUUUCUGGGACGGUCAAACUUCUACCACUGAUAUCUAAUGGUAUCAUAGCUUUGCAAUCGUCUUCUACUGUUUCUCUCCUGAAGCUUAAAGGUAUGGAUGGGUUGGAAGUAAUCCAUAGCUUUGACCAACCAGCCUCUGUGAGUGAUGCUCUGACAAUAACAGAAAAAGAUGAGGCCUUUGCUGUUGUGCAACAUGUGGGUUCUCAAAUUGAAUUUAUUGUCAAAGUUACAAGUGAUUUAACCAAUGAGAUUAUUAGGGAGAAAGUUGAUAUAGAUCAGCAUAGAGGCAGUGUACAGAAGGUCUUCUUGAAUAAUUAUGUUCGCACUGAUAAAUCUCAUGGUUUCCGGGCUCUGGUUGUAAUGGAAGAUCAUUCCAUCCUGUUAAUUCAACAAGGUGCGGUUGUCUGGAGCAGAGAGGAUGGACUUGCUUCAAUUGUUGAUGUAAUGACUUCUGAAUUGCCUGUUGAGAAGGAUGGUGUCUCAGUUGCGGAUGUGGAACACAAUCUCUUUGAAUGGCUUAAGGGACAUGUGCUGAAACUCAAAGGAACUCUAAUGCUUGCUAGUGUUGAUGAACUUGCUGCAAUCCAAGCAUUGAGAGUCAGAAGCUCUGAGAAAAAUAAGAUGACCAGAGACCAUAAUGGAUUCCGCAAACUUCUUAUUGUAUUGACCAAGGCUGGCAAAGUGAUAGCUCUGCAUACUGGAGAUGGCCGUAUUAUCUGGUCAAAUUUGUUGCCUUCCCUUCGUGCUUCUAAAUUGGGCGAAAUGCCUUCUGCCUUGAGGAUAUACCAAUGGCAGGUACCCCAUCACCGCGUUAUGCGUGAGAACCCGACCAUACUUGUUGUGGGAAGAUCUGGAGCCAGCUCUGUUGCUCCUGGUGUCCUCUGUAUUCUUGAUUCAUAUUCCGGAGAGGAACUCAACUCUCAGAGCUUUGACCAUUCUGUUGCCCAAAUUAUCCCAUUGACACUGAAGGAUUCAUCUGAACAGCGUCUUCAUCUUAUUGUUGAUUCCAACUCCAACGCUCACCUAUAUCCAAGAUCUCCGGAUGCCCUUAAUUCAUUUAUUAAUGAAAUGUCAAAUCAGUAUUUCUAUUCUGUAGAUAUUCAGAAAAAUGCUAUCAGAGGGUAUUCAUUACAGAAAUCAUGCGACUUCAAUUCGGAUGACACAUACUGCUUUAGCACAAAGUUGUUAUGGUCUAUCAUUUUCCCUUCUGAUGCAGAAAGGAUUUCUGUCUCAGAAGCACGAAAGAUGAAUGAGGUUGUUCAUACUCAAGCAAAGAUCAUAGCAGAUCAAGAUGUGAUGUAUAAGUAUUUAUCAAAGAACUUAAUUUUUGUUGCUACGGUGUCUCCUAAAGCUGCUGGUGAAAUUGGAUCCGCGGCACCUGAAGAAGCUUCACUCAUGGCAUAUCUCAUUGAUGCUGUCAGCGGACGCAUACUACACCGUGUGACCCAUCAUGGUGCACAAGGCCCUGUACAUGCCGUUGUCAGCGAGAACUGGGUUGUCUAUCAUUAUUUCAACCUCCGAGCUCACAGAUUUGAAAUUGCAGUGAUUGAGAUAUAUGAUCAAUCUAGGGCGGACAACAAAGAUGUAUUGAAGCUCAUACUUGGGAAGCACAAUUUGUCUGCACCCAUGACUUCUUAUUCCCGACCAGAGGUUAUGGUGAAAUCCCAGUCAUACUUUUUUACUCAUUCGGUGAAGGCAAUGGCAGUUACACAAACAGCCAAGGGUAUCACUUCCAAGCAGCUUCUCAUUGGCACGAUUGGUGAUCAGGUUUUGGCACUUGACAAGCGCUUUCUUGACCCACGCCGUUCAUUGAAUCCUACACAACAAGAGAAAGAAGAGGGUAUUAUACCGUUAACAGAUUCUUUGCCUAUUAUUCCACAGUCCUAUGUGACGCACUCUCUUCAAGUGGAAGCACUGCGAGGAAUUGUUUCUAUUCCGGCAAAGUUGGAGUCCACUACUCUUGUUUUCACUUAUGGUGUGGAUCUCUUCUACACUCGGCUUGCACCAUCAAGAACCUAUGAUUCACUCACGGAUGAAUUCAGUUAUGCUCUUCUUCUAAUUACUAUUGUCGCAUUGGUUGCUGCUCUUUUCGUUACUUGGAUUUGGUCUGAGAAAAAGGAAUUAAGAGACAAGUGGAGGUAAUUGAGGCCUCAAUGUUGUGAUGCAAAUGAAAUUUCCGGCCCUAGUCGACAUCCUUAUCUUUGACUUUGUUAGUGCUAGGGUUCGUUUCACUUUUGACUAGGCUAUUAUUUUUGUAACAUUUGAAAGUGAAACCUGUUUCCUGGGAUGACACUGCAUAAGGUACUUGUGCAAUUAGAAAUCCUGGACAUGACAUCACAGAACUGGCAGAUCACGCAGGACUCCUAAUACGUUGUAAAAUGUACCACAGCGACCAAACUUUCCACCAGAAUGUUAGCAGUGCUUUGUAACUUAUUGAAGUUCUCAUGUUCAACUUGCACCUUUUUCUGAGUAUAAAUAACAUUUCUCUCCUCCAAUCUUGACAUUAUUUCUGUCGUUGAUAUGUGAUUCUCACGAUUAUGGUUUCUUUUGGGGAAAGAAACCUGUCACUCAGAAGGUGAUGUAGCAAUUGAUCAAUCUGUCGCUGUUUCUUGACAUGACACUUUUUCUUAAGAUUUACGCCCAUACGCAUGUAUUACGUGCAGUUACCAGCUGCCCUAUCUACCGCACCGUUCGAUGCGCUUAAUCAAGACCAUCAACACAUCGCUCCACAGUAGACGUCACCCUGUGGUCGUCGAUGUUACUGCAACGGAACACCGCCGGUAGUCAUCGAUGCUGUGAUGGAGCAUGGUUUGGCCGGCUGGUGCUGUGGUGAAGCUGCAAUGGAACAUUGCUGGUGGUCAUCGAUGCUGUGAUGGAGCAUGGCUUGGCCGCCCGGUGCCGUGGAGCUGCAAUGGAACAUCGCCAAGGUCGUCGCUGCUGCAAUGGAGCCGCUAGGCCGUCAACAAUGUCACGAGUGCUACAUAGUAGCAGUGGUGAGAGAUAAUUACACCUACCAUCCUUGUACUUUC
rnacentral:rRNA from 1 species